rnacentral:tRNA from 1 species
UUCUCAUUAGCUUAAUUGGUAGAGCAAGAUACUUCUAAUAUCUCAGGUAUAAGUUCGAGUCUUAUAUGGGAGU